rnacentral:lncRNA from 1 species
CCAAGGUACGGUGAGGCCCGGGUGGGGCCGGGCAGGCCGAGAGGCAAGGGCCGCUAUGGGCGGCCACGUGGGCGGCCCGCGCCUCGGCCUCCAACCCUCGCUGGCUUGCGUAUUCCGGGCCUCUCCAGGCGCCUGGGCCUGGGAUGCUCGAGGUCUUUGGGGUCGGGGAGUAAGAGCUGCUGGCCAAGACUCCGGUCUCGGGGGCUGCAGGGCGCGUGACCUUGUGGUCUGCGGAAGAACAGCCAUGGCCAAACUGGGCUCUCGGCUUCACCUGGGGACCUGGAGGCGACCGAUCUCCUCUGUCGUGGCCCACUUGUGAUCUUUCCAUUAGCGUCGGCCAUCCUUCUUCCAAUUGCCCCCAGAUCCCUUCAUUCAUUAGGUCAUUCCGCCUUCGGUGGGGGAAGCUCGCGAUCUAGCACAGAAUACAGAUAUUAGACGCGAGGACUCUGGGCGGGGGCGGCUUUGUUGGUGGCUCGUGUGUCGGCCGCAGCUUAGCCGCAGUGCUGAGAAACCCAACGAAAGGUUUCUAUUCCUUUAUCCUGUUG